rnacentral:tRNA from 1 species
AGCUUGGGGGCUAAAGCGUCUGCCUUGAAAGCGCUGGGUCGCGGGUUCGAUUCCCGCCCGGGCUA